rnacentral:rRNA from 1 species
UACGGAGGGUGCAAGCGUUAUCCGGAUUCACUGGGCUUAAAGGGUGCGUAGGUGGGCUAGUAAGUCCGUGGUGAAAUCUCUGAGCUUAACUCGGAAACUGCCGUGGAUACUAUUAGUCUUGAAUCUCGUGGAGGUAAGCGGAAUAUGUCAUGUAGCGGUGAAAUGCUUAGAUAUGACAUAGAACACCGAUAGCGAAGGCAGCUUGCUACACGAGUAUUGACACUGAGGCACGAAAGCGUGGGGAUCAAACAGG